rnacentral:tRNA from 5 species
GGAAGAUGCCGCUGAAUGGACGGCAAGCGGUCUUGAAAACCGUGGUACGGCAGCGAUGUCGUAGGGGUUCGAUUCCUCCAUCUUCCU